UACGUAGGUGGCAAGCGUUGUUCGGAAUUAUUGGGCGUAAAGGGCGCGUAGGCGGUCUGUCGCGUCGGAUGUGAAAAUCCAGGGCUCAACCCUGGACCUGCAUUCGAUACGGGCAGACUAGAGUUCGGCAGGGGAGACUGGAAUUCCUGGUGUAGCGGUGAAAUGCGCAGAUAUCAGGAGGAACACCGGUGGCGAAGGCGGGUCUCUGGGCCGAUACUGACGCUGAGGAGCGAAAGCGUGGGGAGCGAACAGG
rnacentral:rRNA from 1 species